rnacentral:rRNA from 1 species
UACGAAGGGGGCUAGCGUUGCUCGGAAUCACUGGGCGUAAAGCGCACGUAGGCGGAUUGCUAAGUCAGGGGUGAAAUCCUGGAGCUCAACUCCAGAACUGCCUUUGAUACUGGGGAUCUCGAGUCCGGGAGAGGUGAGUGGAACUGCGAGUGUAGAGGUGAAAUUCGUAGAUAUUCGCAAGAACACCAGUGGCGAAGGCGGCUCACUGGCCCGGAACUGACGCUGAGGUGCGAAAGCGUGGGGAGCAAACAGGG